GAUUUAAAUAAAAUUUUAUUUAAAAUUAUUUGUAUAAAUUAAAGUAAAAAUUAUUUAAAUAAUUAUUUGAAUUAUAAAAAUAGUAAUGUAAAUGAAUUAAUAAAAAUUUAAUUAAAGUAAUUUUUAUUUAUUGUACCUUUUGUAUCAGGAUUUAUAAAAAAUAUAAUUUUUAAAUAAAAAAUUUUUCAAUUAAAAAAGAGUUAAAUUAAUAUAAAUUUUAAUGUUAAAAAAUUAUUUUAAAUAGUUAAUUUAGAGAAGAAAUUUUAUUCAAUUUUUUAAAUAUUUAAUUUUUUUUGAUAUUAAUUGAAUUUAAUAUAAAUAAUAUUGAUUUUUAAAAUAAUAAAAUAAAUAAUUAAUUUAUAUAAAAAAUAUAUGGGAUAAUCUAUAUUUUUUUUUAAAAAAAAUGGAAAUUUAAAUAAAAAAUAUUUUUAAAAUUGAAAUAUUUUUGAAAAAAAUUUAAUAAUUUAUUAAAAAUUUAUUUAAUAUUUAAUAUUAAUUUUUUUAAUUUUUUAAAGAAAUAUAUUAAUUAAUUAUUGAAUUAAUAAAAAUAAUGAUAAAAUUAGUAUUUAAAUUUUUUAUUUAAAUUUAGAAAUAUAUUUUUAAUAUUUAAUAAAAGAAUUAGGCAAUUUAAAUUAUUUAUAUAAAAAUAAAUUAAAUUCACCUGUUUAAUAAAAACAUGGUUUUAAGAUUAAAAUUUAAAAUUUAUUCUGCUCAAUGAUUAAAAUUAAAUAGCUGCAGUAUUUUAACUGUACAAAGGUAGCAUAAUAAAUUGUUUUUUAAUUGAAGACUAGAAUGAAGGAAUAGAUGAAAUUUAAACUAUUUAAAAUAUUUUAUGAAAAAUUAUAAUUUAAGUUAAAAUUCUUAGAUAAUAUUAUGGGACGAGAAGACCCUAUAGAAUUUUAUAUAUAAUUUUUAUUAUUAAAAUUUAAAUAUUUUAAAAAUAUUAUAUUUAAUUGGGGGGAUGAUAAAAUGUAAUUAACUUUUAUUUUAAAUUUAAAAAUUUAAAUAAAACAUUAAUUUAUGAGUUUAUAAGAAUUUAUAAAAUUUUAUUUUUAUAAAUAGUUAGAAUUAAUUACCUUAGGGAUAACAGCGUUAUAAUUUUUUAAAGAUCUUAUUUAAAAGAAUGAUUGCGACCUCGAUGUUGAAUUAAAAUAAAAAUUAAAUGAAAAAAUUUAAAUGUUUUAGUCUGUUCGACUAUUAAAAUUUUACAUGAUUUGAGUUAAGAUCGGUGUAAACCAGAUUGGUUUUUAUCUAUAAUUAAUUAAAAUAAUUUUGUACGAAAGGACUUUUUAUUUGAAAUAAUUUUAUUAUUUAUUUAAAUUAGAGUAAUUUUAAUUGAAUUUAAAAU
rnacentral:rRNA from 1 species